GUUUGUCAACCCCCAGUCGAGACUCGAGUCUGAUGCUCGGCUCGCACUCCUGUGUGGAUUUAAUAUCAGUCUCUGGUUGGUUCUCGCUGGGUCUAACAGUCAACUUGAUUGGAUGGAGAAAAGUCUAGGAAGUUAGUAAAGCACACUUGUCGGUGUGUCUGUGAGAAUGCUUUCAGAGAUAAUUGGCAUGUGGGACAGUAAAAUGAAGGGGAGACCCACCCUGAAAGUGGUGGCAUUGUCCAAUAGGCUGGGGCCCAGAUGGAAUGAAAACAGGAGAAAAGGAGGAAAGCAGUGAGGGUCAUGCUUACUCUCCUGCUCUCGCUCCUUCUCAUGCUCUGACUCCCUCUUACCUUCUCAUUCCCUCUUGCUCUCACUUUCUUGCUCUCUCUGCUCCCAGCUGCCAUGAAGUGAGCAGCUUUUCUCUACCACACCUUCCCACAAUGGUGUUUCUGCCACACCACAGGCCUAGAAGCAGUGGGACUGGCUAUCAGCUGAAGCCUCUGAAAUCAUGACCCAAAAUAAACCUUUCCUCCUUUGAGUUUUCAGGUAUUUUGCCCUAAAGACAACACAUCAGGAUCAGGUAUUCUGGUUUUUUGUUUUUUUUUUUUUUUUGGUACCUGGGAUCCAACUCACAACCUUGCACUUGUAAGGCAGGCACAGUGCCACUGACCUAAAUCCCCGGCCCAAGUAUUCUGUUCUUAAUAAUAGAAUAUGGGCUAAAACAAUCACACAAAAUCCUUCCUAAAUUUCUCCAUGUAUAAUUCUUUUUUUUUUUUUUUUGGUACUGGGGUUCGAACUCGGGUCCUUGCACUUGUGCAACAGGCGGUGAAACCACUGAGCUAAAUCCCCAGCCCUUCAUGUAUAAUUCUUCAGAUUCUAUGCUGAGAAGUAAAUCUCACUUAGAUACUGAUGACACUUAGCAUCUCUUUUUAAGCCACUUUUUCCUAACCUCUUAUUUUAAAUUGUAGAUGUAAACUGUACAAACAGAAUCUCUGUAUCUCUUCUCUCGGCUUCCCCUAAUGUUAACAUUCUAUCCAGCCAUAGUGCAAUUGCUAAAGCUAGGAAGUGUGUACUGGUACUGUGCCUUUAAGUACAAAUCCUGUUUGACUUUGACCAGGGUUCCUCCUAUAAUACUGCACUGGAUUGCCACGUUUUCUUGGUCUCCUCCCAUCUGACAGCUCAUCUUUCAUGACCUUGACACUUGGGAAGUAUAGUGCUUGGGUGUUUUAUAGGAUGUCCUUCAACUUUCGUGGGUCUGAAGCCUCAGUGGAAUAAGAUUUUGGCAGGAAUGCCACCAAAAUGAUGUGACCUUCUCAGUAUCUCUUAUUAGCCUUGAUUACUUGGUUAUGACAGUGUCUGCUGGGUUUCUUCAUUAUAAAUCUAUUCUUCCCUUGAUUGUUAAUAUCUUGUGGGGCAAUACUUAGAGACUGCAAAUAUCUUGUUCCUCUUCAAACUUUGUCUACUAUUAAUUUUAGUAUCUACCAAUUGAUUUUGACUCAACAACCCACCAAGCUUUCCAACAGGAGGAUGCACCUUAUUUACUUGAAGUUGAGUUGAAAAUAGCACAAAUAAGUGGAUGAAAUACGAACUGGAAAUAUUUUCUUAACAUUUGCUUCUUGGUUUGUUUGUUUGAGGUUUUUUUGGAGACGGGGUCUCGCUGUGUAGUUCACGCUGACCUCAAACUCAUAUCCCCCUGCCUCAGCCUCUUGAGUGCAAGGAUUACAGGUGUGUGCCAUCAUGCCCAGCUAAUGUUUGCCUCUGCAGGACAAGAUUGUUACUCUGGAUGGAGCUUCCUGGCUGUUCCCAUGAUCCCUUUAUUACUUACAUAGAAUAGGUAUAAAUCUUCUUUCCUAUUAGAUCUAAGGAGUAAGUAGACAGAAAUGAGUGGGGGUAACAGAAAGUGGGUAUUGUGCUUCUCUUCCUAGCUGUGUAACUCUAGGAAAGUGACACACUGCCUCUGAGAUCCAGUUUCCUCAUCUCUAAAACACAUUGUACAGGGUUAAAAUGAGAAUUAAAGGUGAUGUUUCCUUGCUUGCUUACCCCUACAGGCUGUCACCUGCUUCCUCCCUGCAGUGACCUCCUUUCAGGUAGGUAAGUCUUCAGAGGACGUGGCCCUGGAAGAAGAGACCAUCUGUGAGAACAGUCAGCCAGAGGCUUCUCUAUGGACAGACUCCCCCAGGGGCUCUUCACUCUUUAGCCAGGAAAAGCUCACCCAAAUCAGGCUCCCUUAAGUCAUCAUCACUCCUAAAGCUCAAGGCAGAGAAGAAUGACCUGGCAAAAUUGGGGAAGAACCACUCCUCAGCCUUCUUUUCCUUGUCCAUCAUCAAUAGCAUCUGCUCCUUCUCCUCCUUUUUCUCCUCCUCUCUGUCUAAGAACAGUGGUGAUCUGAAGGCUCACUCUGCCUUGGACUCAGGUAUCUGUGGCACUCCCAAGGUCAAGGCCAAGAAGACCUCCUGGGCGAAGCCAACAGUCUGGCCAAGGCAUUCCUGAAUUGAGUAGAGUGUCAAGAGUCAAGAGAAGAUGGAUAUCAGGACUUUCAUCAAACCUAUAGGCCAGCUCCAGGGAGCCUUAAAGGCUCUCUACAAGUGAGGAUUCACAACUGCUCGCCUCCCCAGCCUCUGAAGGGUUCAAGAGAGGCUCAGCCAUUAUCAUCAUCCUUCUGGAUUUCACUCCCUGGUUUUCCCCCCAGAAAGGAGUGGAAAGUGCAAGCCACCUCCUGCAAAUGCUGGAGAAGCUGUAAAGUGGAUGGUGAAUUAGCCCAAUUCGGUACAGUGGUACAUGAACAACCAGAUUUGGAAGUUGGGAGGAGGUCGAAAGUGAGUGAUCAGGUGACUCAUGCACUGAUGAUGAUGAUGAUGAUGAUGAUGAUGAUGAUGAUGAUAACUUUGAGUCAUUUGAGCCAAAGUUCCUGUAACAGUGAAACAAAACAAGAAUUGACCAAUACAGACACAGAGAAUGAAGACCUUGAUUCAGAUGGGGAAGAAAACAGCAAUGUAGAGUACAUAUUUAACUAGUUGAAAGGCAAAAUAAAAAUGGUUCAAUGCCUAGAA